rnacentral:tRNA from 1 species
GGCCGACGGCGCACCCUCUUUCUAGGAAUCGGCGGAAGCGCUGCACUCUUGUAGGGAGAAGAGCUUCCUCCAUUCCAAAGAACAUAGGCCGCCGUCCUCAUGUCCCUUCAUCACUGGAAAAUACGCCUUGGCAGCAAGGUGUAUCUGCCUGGCAGGCUUUCGAGCGCCUCGCGCUGCUGUAAAAAGCGGCUUGCAAGGCACCGGGCCGGUAGCUCAGGUGGUUAGAGCGCACGCCUGAUAAGCGUGAGGUCGGAGGUUCAACUCCUCCCCGGCCCACCAUAGCUUGGCUGGGGGCUGUAGCUCAGAUGGGAGAGCGGUUGCUUUGCAAGCAUCACGUCAUCUUGUCUAUCCCGAUAAGCUCCGCCAACCGGACUGCGUAGCGAUGUGUCGCGCAUGAGCAGACAAUUUCUAGGGAGGAAGAUGAACCGUCUGCCAGCCAAGGGGUGCUGAUAUCAAGCUGCAUUGCGCUCCUCUUUGACAUUGUGAAUGGCAUUUUUUAAUCCAUGCCGGGCUCACACUGUCUUUCUCGUUCUUCGCGAUCAUCAGAACGAGACGGAAUCGCAGCCGAUGAUCGGUACA